rfam:Pan troglodytes isolate Yerkes chimp pedigree #C0471 (Clint) chromosome 19, whole genome shotgun sequence.
GCUGGGCGUGGUGGUGCAUGCCUGUGGUCCCAGCUACUCAGGAGGCUGAGGCAGGAGGCUCGCUUGUGCCCAGGAGGUUGAGUCUGUAGUGAGUUGUGAUCCUGCCACUGCACUGUAGCCUGGGAGACAGAGCAAGAUCCUGUCUCAA